UACGUAGGUGGCAAGCGUUGUCCGGAUUUACUGGGCGUAAAGAGCGCGCAGGCGGUUGAUUAAGUCGAAUGUGAAAGCCCCCCGGCUCAACUGGGGAGGGUCAUUCGAUACUGAUCGACUUGAAGGCAGGAGAGGGUAGUGGAAUUCCCGGUGUAGUGGUGAAAUGCGCAGAUAUCAGGAGGAACACCGGUGGCGAAGGCGGUUCUCUGGGCAUUACCUGACGCUGAGGAGCGAAAGUGUGGGGAGCGAACAGG
rnacentral:rRNA from 1 species